CUUGAAGAUCAUUUACCUGCCUCUAAUUUAGGUCCAUUUAAGCUGUUCACAUUUUAUUACUGAUCAGUUCCCUGCAUUUAGCUAAUUUCACAAAUGGAAAUGCUCUGGAUGGAGAUAAGCAUGAUUUCUGUGUAGUGGGUAGUAAAAUUCAAAUGACUUUCUCAACUGUUUAAAUAGCAACAGAUCUAUCACGGAAUUCAGUACCAAAAAAGUAAAGAAAGAAUUUUCUUUGACUGUAGCAAAAUCCAAAGAAGCCUACAGUGUAGGAUUUUAUGGUAGAUCAGAUCUAGAAAGCAAUAAUGUUGUUGUUUUGUAGCAUUCACUAUGAAAAAUGUCUACAGGCUUAAAGACAUAUAUAGAAGUUUUCAUGUUUGCAAAAAACAUCUUGUGGAACAGGGUGUAACAAUUUAUCAAGAUUCAAGACACAAGUUUGACUAAAGGAUCAGGAUCAGCUCUGGAGAUGACUGCUUUCAAAGCUGAAACUGUGUUAAAUAUGUCAGCUAAUUUCAACACCAGCAUGAAAGAGUUGAAGGUUAUGAAAUAACAGCUGAACCAGAGGUUGAGACAAUGCUCAGGAAAAGCUCCCCUACCAAGCAUAUAUUGAUUCAAAUCUGUGAUGUUCCUCAGUCAAUGCAGAGAGACAUACCAGUAGAAAAAAUGCCUACUUUGAGGCAUGUCUACUGGACAAGAGGAUAGUGAGAAUGACAUUAUUCUCAUGGAGCAACCUCAAAAGGCUGGGAUUAAAUACACUGCUGUCCCAAGAAGAAAGGAAACAAAGAAAUCAGAGAAAAGAAUAAGCCCUAGAAAAUUAGAA